UCCUUUCUGGAUAUUCCUGUAUACCUGAGUCCUGCUGAAGGUUUGCUGGAAAUCUGCGUUUGAAUCAUGAAAUGCACUUUUCAAUGGACGCAGCAUUCUGGAUGAGUCACAGCGAGGGACAGGAGGAGCUGAUGAGCAGCCUGCUGGCACACACAGGGCAGGCACACACAGAUCCCACCCCAGUGACACCCAAGGGAUGCGGUUCCCAGCUGGCAGAGAGGGAAACGCAGGAGCUCAAAGCCCUCUGCAAGGGCUGAGCAUCCUUUGCUGACUGUGGGAGCUGAGGGCCUUUUGCAGAUUGCUCCUUCGGGCCCUUUUUAGUUUGGGAUUUCCCUCACAUGCGCUCCAACUGCAUCCUUCUGAAGGGGCUGAGAGCCCUGCAAGGCAUGGGAUGCCAGCAGGUAAUGAACCCUGCUGCUGCUUACACACACACACACGCUCUGUUUUCAGACAGGAAGUGGUUGGUGAUAUAUCUCUCUGCAGCACUGGGUGUUCUGCUGUGUCCCAGCUCCCUGCCACCUCCCCACGUGUCUGCCCACUGCUUUGGCACCAACACUGUGCAGAGAGGGAGGGGACAAUGUGUGGGGGACGGCGAGGGGCUGGGCAGAAAUGAGAUAACACGGGGAUUGAUCUGUCCAAAGGUUAAGGAGCUGAACUUAUUUAACUCCUGUUAGCUUAUUUAUUGUCCCUGAGUUAUAUUUGUGACUACGACUGAGCAGAUUACCGCAGGAUUGCUGGGUAGAUUUAGAAACCCGGGGUGCUUUUCUAGCUCUGUGCAUGUGUUUGUGUGCGUGCGCUGCUGGCUGUGAGCAUUCCCCUUCCCCACUGCCAUCAGGGAUGAAUAAACAGGGACACUUACUGCAGUAAAAACAUAUAGAUAUAUAUAAAACCCUCCCACUGGUGGUAAACACAUGCGUCAUGCGUGAUUGCUGGAAGCUGGAGCUGGUAAGCACUGGAUGGGGAUGAGUAAUGUUUGUUAUGGCCCUGUGACUGCCAGGCACUCGGUAGCAGGAGCAGCACAGCAGUGGCAUAGGGCCCAGGAGAGAGACCAAAGUCUCAUCCAAGCUUGGCUGCAGGCUCUUGGCCUGAUCUCUAUGGCCUCCCCACCUCCCCUGGAGCCCCGUGGCUGUAUGGGGCUCACUGCAGGAGUUGGAGGAGUGGGAUGGGUGUCUCCGAGGGGGGCAAGGUGUGUUGCUCAGAUGGUUGGGUGAACGUCUGCUGUUCCAUCAGUUUCUUUUCUACCUCUGUAAAGCAGCCACAAAAAACAAUGACUAAUUUCUCUGUGGAAUAUUCAUCUUUAAAAAGCCAGACCUGGGGCUUUGGUGCCUGUGGAGCCUUCCAGCUCCUCAGGUUGGAAAAAUUUAUUCUCUGAAAGAAUGGUAAUGUUUUGGAACUGCCCAGGGAGUGUUGGAGUCCUCAUCCCUGGAGGUGUUCCAGAGCCAUGGAGAUGUGGCACUGAGUUUUGAGAGUGCCUGGCUUGUAGACCCAGCUGGGAAAGGAUCUAAAUGGGGAGCACAUGGAGAGCUGUCCUGGAUGAGGUCAAGCAUAGCAGGUAGUGUGGGAUGGGUUUUGGAGCUUCCCAUAGGAGUUGGACUUGGUGAUUCCUAUGGGUCCCUUCCAACUUGGGGUACUGUAUGGCAAUUCAGAGGUGUGGGGUCACUCAUAGACCUGCUGAUGUCCCACAUGAACCCCCAGUGAUUGCUACAAUGGGUCAGAAAGAUCUGAGAAAGGUUCUGAAGAUAUCCAGGAGGAUGUCAAGGCGACGGCUUAGAAGAUGUGGCUGUGAGACAUGAGAUCAGCAGGGAUGGUGCCCAUCCAUUCACCCAUCAUCUCUCCAUCCAUCACAGGUUGGUGGGAUGAGGAGGCCAAUAGGAAAGCAAUGAAAGAGGAAGAGCUGGUGUAUGGAAAGUGCUUGUGCCCAUGUUAAAAACAAAAAAAACCAACAAUAUGUAUAAGGACAAAAGUGAGAUUGCACAUCUGGAUGAGUAUGAACACAGCCAUCAUCGUAAGUCAGGAGUAGAGCCAUGGAGUGGUGCUGCCACCAGGAAUCAGGGCAGGUCCCUCCCAGGUCUGAUCACACAUGGCAUUGAGUGCUGGUCCAGCGUUGGCCCUGAAAUACGUAAUAGCAGUCAGAUGGAAAUAUCCUCCAGCAUAAAGGCAGCAGUGUGUGGGGGCUCAGCUCAAAGGAAAGCCCAGACAGCAGUGCUGGAGCCAUGCAUGUGGCUCCUGGAACGUCAGCUCAUCUCCUCCAGCAGGUCUGCUGCAAACACAUGGGGACAGCUAUUGCGUGUACAGCACCAGUCUCUGGGCGCUUAUGUUAUUUGUCGGGCAGAGGGAUAAUUGACAGGUGGCUGUCUGGAAGAGAUGAAGCCCUCCAGCAAAACUCUGCAGCUCCGGCAAGAUGCGAGCGACAGAGAAAUGGCUCCAGAGGUGAUAGACUUGUUACAUCUAACACCGCCGGAGAUGGAAGGGGAAGCAGGGUUGAAUCGCAGUUCAGAACAAUCGUACCUAACUGCUGCACUAAAUAAAAGCCAUGAUUUCAUACUGGUGUCUGCGGCUGCCUCAGACUGAGCCGGGAUUAACGAGCGUGUUGUUGCCUUUGGAAGGGAAGUGCAUGCCUGAGGACUUCGGGUUCCUUUUUUAAGGGGAGCAUCACCCAGGAGGAGGGCAGAGAUACAGGGUGGGUGUGCCCCAAAGCAGUGCUGGUAUUUACUCUCCAGCUAAUAAACCUUGCUGGGAGGAGGACAGUGUUGGUGGGAUGGGCUGGUGCCCGGGUACCCCACCAGCUGCAGGUAUUCAUCUUGCCUUGUUUUCCUUUUCUUUUUGCCCUUUUUCUAACUGCUCUGCCUGGGACUUUGAUGCCUGCAAGCCUCCUCCAGGCCUGGCCCUCGUGCUCCUCAAUGAGUCUGCACCUAUUUUGAUGAUGCAUAGUGUUAUCUGCUCCCGACUUAUAAACAAAAACAGAAGCUUAACCAUUAACCCCCUCCAAUGCAGCACCCCGACCUAUCGCUCUCUGAGAACCAACUUCUCAUAGGGCUGAUUUCUGCCUGCUUCUUUAUCGACCUCAAGCAUUUUUUUGUACUGUUUACUGGAGUUUGCCCCCCGCCAUGUUUAUGAUGUAGCACUACAGAGGCUCUCGCCCUGCCGUGCUGCACGCUGUGGUGGUUCGGGGCUGAGCUGGGACAGGCAGAGCUGAAGCCCAUUGGCUCCAUCCCUCUGCUCUCCCACCUCCGUGCAGCAAAUCAAAGUGCAACAAAUGGCUUUGCAUCAUUUCUUUGAGGAGCCCUGGGCCUUGUAUGUUAUCUUGAGGGCAGAGUAUAUGCUCCAAUAAAAGAAGGCUUUAUUACCGACUGCAACGGAGCCAAGGAUUCAAACACGUAUUGCCUUUGCCCAGGAUUCCUGCCUGUAUCCAGUGCUCUCUGAUGUGGGGCUGCUACCUGUGCCACCUACCUGCGCUGUGACUUGGCUUCCCAUCCUACAGAAGGGGAGCCUUCUCAGUUUCUCGGGUGCAAAACCCAAGCUUUGGACAACGGCAGAAGCAGUCAAUUAUGUUCUCACUCUGUCUGCUUUGGAAGUCCUGGAGUGUGCUGGUGUGACCACAGCCGUAGGAGCGGGGCGGUUCGGGAUAAAUCAGAAACAAAAGGGCCAUUAUCCAUAUGGGACCCCAUGAGCGCACCGCAUACCCCAGCAAUCCCGAGCACUCUGUGUACGGUUCUCGCUUGGUUUUAACUCAAUUUCUUUGAGAUGCAAAUUAGAGGGAUUAUAUUCAGAGGCUACAUCAGAAAGUCUUUAAUCCAAAUGGGCUAUAAGAUUUAUUUGGAAGAGCCAAAUGUCUUGUCUGGGACAGAAGCAACCGAGCUGAACUGAAACAGAUGGACAUAAAGGAAAUUAAGCAACUCUAAUGGUCUUAUCCAGAGUUUCAAAGUAUUUGGUCUUCGGAAAGCUCCAGCUCCUGGAAGCACGUGAUGAGACGGGGAGCUCAAGUUUCAUUUCAAAACAGGCUUUGCAGUUCACUGAGAAAGACAAUAAUAAUGUUUUUAUUCCUCCUGUGUACGGAGGGAAGGCUGCCUUCCAAACCCCGGCUCCUCAGCUCAGCUCAUGACGUCAGAUGGAAGCGUAUUGCACAACGUUUGCAUUCCUCGUCUUCAUCACAGUGUGGUUAUUUCUGUGGGCUGGAUUUGGGAUUUUGGAAGGCUGAUGGUUCUUGGGGUGCCGGGAGGUGGUCCUCCUCAUCUCUGCAAGGGGAAAGCAUCUGCAGCCUGAGCAGUGAGCAGCAGCAGCCCUCCUGCUUGCAGCUGCACCAUGCCCUGCUUGGCUCAGUGCUGAGUACCCGGAGCAGAGGAGCUUCACGUGUCUGCACGUUUGCCAUCCUUCACCCCAGUGCUUUUGGAUUCGGAUUAAAUAAAAGGGGAUGCGUGGUGGUUGGGGCAUUGGCAUCAACCUAUGGAACAGCCGUUGCGGUGCAGGGCUUGGGAAGGAAGCCACCACCUCCUUCAGCUCCUCCCAUUGAUCUGGACUGGGGAAGGCUCAGCUCCCACCCUGUGCUCGGUGUCCCAGUCCCACAGUGACCAUCCUCAGACCCAGCGCCGUCACCAGGAGCGGAGCAUUGCCCUUCACACACCAUUAUUCCUCACUCCCCAGAGCCUUUUUGUCUCUUAUCAGCAGUGACCCCCGGGCUCUGUUAUCUCCCCCCAGCCAUCCACCCAAGCCAUAGAGCUGUCAGCGUGGGGAAUGACCUUCACCUCCUCGCUCACCUCCAGGAGAUGCUGUGUCCGCUCGGCCGGCUGCGUGGUUGGCUGCAGCAGCACUGCCUGCUGCCCGGAGCCAGGCAAAUGGGAGCUGAAGAGCUACAACAGGAGCCUCUGCAGCCCACAUGCCAGCAGCAGAUCUGUUUUCUGACUGACCCAACAGCAGGGCCCUUCUUGGGACUGGCUAAACGUGGUUACUGAUGCCUACUAAGUAGCUUCUUCCAUGUGCUUGGGUGAAUAAAUUACCCUACAGCUUCCAUCAUCUCGAAGGGCUUGAGCGCAUCCUCUGGCACAAGGCUGGCUUGCAGGAGGAGCAGCCACCAAUGGGAAGGAUGGAGUUAAAUUCCAUAGAGGUGUACAGAGCGGAGAUGGGGCAGGCAGCUCUGCAGAUGAAGAUGUCUCACGAGCAGCACGUCGGACCUGAACGCGUGUUUGUGUGGUUCCCCUGCCACCAGCACAACGGGAGCUACACGGCGGCCAGCCAUGCAGAGCCAACAAGAAAAGCCUGCUGAAGAAAGGCACCGGCGCUGACAAUACCCGUUUGCAGGACGGAUUAAGCUUAGAGCAGUGUCUGGGCUUUGUGAAGGGGCAGCUCUGAGCUCCGUGCACGCAGCGUGGUGGCAGGAGGCUACAAAAGCUGGGAUCCCACACAGCCCUAUUGCCAAGCAGUGCUAACCCGGCCCGUGCGAGGCUCAGUCCCCAUCACUGCCAGGACCUGCCACCUCCUGCCCUGCCCUGCCCUCUCCCGGUGCCCUGCCUGUGCCACUUUGCCCCCCUGCUGCUCAACCCUGCUGGAUGCUAAGUGGAAAUCCCCCCCCCCCCCCCCCCCCCCAUGCCAAGUGUUAAAUACUUAUCAAGCUAAUACAGCGUCUUUGUGGAGGUGCGUACAUGAGACAACAUGUUACCAUAAUUAACGAGCAGCUGGAGUUGGCAUCGCGCUGCAGAUGCUGGCGGCGGCUCCCAGCGCCUUUCCCAGGGCUGCAGCUCUGCCCUUCCCCAAUAGUAGGAAAGUGCUGAGUGGGGGGAAUGCCUUGUAGGUCUCUUCCCACCUCGCAGGGGGUGGUGGCGGCUUCCAGCCCGGGGUCUGCAGAGCCGUGGAGGUCUGGGACUGUUUCUGGGUUGGGCAAAUGGGUCUGUUGCCAGCAGGCAAAUGCUUAUACGGGAGGUGAGGAGCUGUUGUGGGGGGCACUGGGUUGGGAGCUGUAAGGAAUCCUGCUGCUGGAGACUCUGGGAGUGAUGGCUUGUCCCUGUGCCAUUGAUGUGGGUGUGGAAUCGCAAGGGCUGGGGCAGCGAUGGCCAGGUGGCACUGGGAUGUGUGUGAUGGGUGUCAGGGACCAAUGGUGGCACCAGUGGUGGAGAAAGCUUGGGAGGAGGGGAGAGGGGCUGGGAUGGGGCUGUGAGCGCAGCCCUGGGGAGGAAGGUGGCAGAGCGGGGUGGUUGGUGGUCAUUUACUUGGUCAGACCUUUUGAGAUGAUGUGGAUCCAUCCCUCUGCUCAGCCCUAAGCAGAGCAGCUGCACAACCCCCCCAUCCUUUUGAAUUGCCUUGAGCUCCCUAACUUUCCAGCCCUGGAGAAGUCAUUGCAGCAGUUGAUGUUUGUAUCAUGACCUACGUUGCUAUUGGGUUUUAAAUAGAUAUAUUUUUACUGUGCUGUAUGCUAGCUUCCCACAUGCAAAUUGCUCUGAGUGAGCCAUUUAUCUGGAAAAUAAAGGUUAUGUUCUCAAAAGGCAUUUAGUUCCUUUCUGAAUGAUUGAGCGAGUUUUCCACCGAGAAAACAAAGGUCUUUAACACAGUCCAAACCGAUGACAGGGAAAAAGGCUCAGGUAAAACCCCUCCAUUUAUUUAAUAGCUCCCCCUUCCUCAUUCAUAUUUACAAGAUAAAAGGGGCUCCAUCAACCCAUUAGAGUUGAAAUACGUGUCCUGUCUUCAAGGAAAGCAAAUCCCAUCUGGCAUCCCUGGAGGAAUAUAACCUUAACUUCAGCUUAAUGCCACAUUAGGGUAUCUAACAGAUCCAGCCGGAGAUUUACCUGCCUUUAAGGGAGAUUUAUUUUGGAAGCAAACAGGCUCAUGUGACAAAAUGCUUUCCAUGAGCACCUCAGGCGAGGAGGAGCGGUUCCCCUGCCGGGGGGUCCGUGCUGUGCCCUGGGCUGGGUGUGGAGCUGGGAGCUGCCCCAGGGCUCGGCUGCUCCCUCCCACCCCACUGCGCAGACCCCAUUCCCUCUGUGCCCGCAGGGCUUGGGGAGAGGCUUUGGGGAAAGGUGGGUCCGGCUUCUGUGGCUCUUGCAUUUGCCUGGGAAAUCAGAGAGUUUUUGCUGUGAAGGUAUUGCUGCCAACACCUCUCUGCAUCCCCACCCCAGCACCGCCCGUUUCCAUCACCACCACCUGAAGAACAAGAACAGAGGGGCAUUUUCUCUCUUUCCCAUGCAACUUAGCCUCGGGGACUCGGUGCUGCAGUCCUAAAAAUGCACCACCAGCUGCAGGAUUGGGGUCCUGCAGAGGCUGCAGAAUUGGGUGACUGCAUCCCAAAUGACACCUCAGCCAUGUGGUUCUCCAGGGCAGCAAAAAUGCUGAUGGCCUGGGGUGGGAAGCACGGCCUGGCUGGGUCUGCUGAGAGGUGUUGGCCAAAGCACCAUAGUGGUGUCUGUGCAGAAAGCGUGUUUCUGUACAGAGCUAGCCUGGAGGUGACGUUUGCAGCAAUAGGUUUAUUGUCAUUUCUGGUUUUAUUGAUAUGAAUAGAAAUGGAUGAGGGUUUUGUAAUUAUUUAAUCAAUCCCAAAUGCGUGAGACUGCUUGGGACUAAAAUACAAGACAUUUCUUGGCGUUCCCUGCUUGCCUAUGCCUAAGGUGGUAGCUGUACUCUUUCCCUCAGACCUGGCUUCUGCUGCAAACAGAAAACCUGGGGGGUUGGUGAGAUGGAACACACACUGUGCCAUGCGGGCCCCUGGGCUUUGGAUGCUCUGCGUCUCCUCCUGGCUCUCGCCAAGCCCCUGGGCUGCAGAAACCCUGGUGUGUGCUGGCAGAGCCUCCCCAGCAGCGCCCUGGGGAGAGGCUGCAGAUGCCGGGGAUUCCUGCAAGCUCCUCUCCUCUCGAGACACCACGCAACAUGUGGGUGGCUGGGCAGGAUGGGGGGCGUGGAGCAUCCCUUGUGGGGAGCCACCUCCAAAGGGCUCUAUGGGAUAAACCCCAACGCAAAGCUGCUGGUGGGUUUGGGAUCAGGGCUGCUGGUGCUGAGGGGCUCCGAGGAUGGGCACAGCUGGUCUGCUGCCCUGCGUUACCAAACUGCAUCUCAUCAGGCUGUUGAUGUACACACUGUUCAGCCUGAGAACGAGAGGGCAAGUCAGCUGCAGGUGGGUGAAACCUAUCUCCUCUGCACUGACCUGGCCUGCCUGACUGGUUUUUUAUGAUUAUUUUUUAUUCUGUCUCCAGUUAGGCAAUACACUUGCCUGUUAGAAAUAUCGCCCUGGGCUGCCAGCUCAGCGAAGGAGAAAAGCGGGUGUGUGUUACCGAGGGAAGAUGGGGGUCACCUCCCUGCCGGGGGGGACACCUCACCCCUUCCCUGCCCUCCUUGGGCUGCUGCACCUGCAAGAACCCCUCCUUGUGCUCUGCUGCUCAUGGGGUGCUUAGAGCUGAGCAUCCUCACGGGGGGAUGCCCUACGGGGAGCUCCCAACGUCCCCUCCGCAGCUCCUACACCCCCAGGGUCGCCGGGCUGCAGUGGAUGGAUUUCAGCCCAGCUGGCAGUUUGGGAUCGUUAACCAUGAAGGUGCCCCUGGGAAGAAGCGAAAAAGGUAUUUGGGAAAAUUUGCUAACAGACUCUAAUGACUUAAUAAUCCCUGCCGGAGAGAGCGCGGCAGGUUAUGUGAAUGUCAAGUUUGUUUGCUUUGCCGAGAGCCGGCUGCUGUUAGGUAAUCAGAGGGUGUGACCUCCUUCGUGGGGAAAAGGCAAGGGAAGGAAAGCAUGUGCCUGCUGCCCUGCCGGAGGUGAGCAGCAGAGAUGGGCACAGAGCGGCCCUGGCAGCCCCACUGCUGCGCUGGGGAGAGCAAAGCCCAGGGGCUGCCCUGCUCUGCACGUUGGGAGCAUGCUGUAGGGCUGGGUGGUGGGGGUGGGAUUCAGCAGGGAAAGCAACCAGGAGCUCGAGGGAGGGGUUUUGAGAGCAUGUUUGUGCUGCACUGGUAUGAACUGCCCAGGGAGUGUUGCUGGGUGGGCACAGGGUGGAUGUGUGUGCCCGAGUGAGCUGUUGCACAGCACAAGCCCGUCUUGGCCAAGCCUGCACCUCAGCCUGCCCAGAUGGGGAACACUGUCCCAUUUUGGGGAUGCCAUUGGGAAUCAUAGGAUCACAGAACGGCUUGGGUUGGGAAGGACCUGAAAUAUCUUCCUGCUCCAACCCCCCUGCUGUGGACAGGGGUGCCACACAGCAGAUCAAGUUGCCCAGGGCCCAUCCAACCUGGCUUUGGACACCUCCAGGGAUGGGGCAUCCACAACUCCUCUAGGCAGCAGCAUCGACUGAGCAAAGUGUGGGGUUUGCUGAACGCUGGGACCUUUCCUUGUCGGUAAAGGAAAGUCAGGACAGGACUCUAAGCAUACUUUGCGUUAUCUGCCAUGACCCGUGGCAUCGGGACAGGCUGCCCCACACCCAAUGGGACGAGACAUCUCACUCUAGAAGCCGAAAGCGGGCAGGUGGGGGCUGACACCCCCCCACCGCUGGGUCCAGUGGGAAGGGGAGCGCAUGACUGCAAGCACCGGAGCUCCUGGAGCACAGGUUGCCACCUCGCAGCUGCUCUCAAGCCCCAGCUUGCCUGCCUCGAUGCUGUUUGAACAGGAGCCUUCGCAGACGUAGCUCUAGGCCAAGUUGUGGGGCAGCCGGGAGGGAACCGCCUGGCUCCAGACCCCGCUGCGGGAGGUCCGGGCGCGUGGGCACCGAAAUACCGCGUGCCAACCGCAGCUCUGCCCCGGGGCCACAACACCUGUGGCCACUUUGAACCCCAACCACAGCCCCGAGGUGCCAGCAGGAUAUGUGGGAGCGCCGGGGUUCGGCUUACAGCCGUUUUUAUGGCCGUUCCUUCGAAUUCUGGGGGCAGGUUGCAUUUCCCAGCAGACGCACAUCCUCACUAAUAGCAGCUUGCAGUCCUCCUCGCAAAAAAAACCCCACAACUGCAUUGUGAGGCUGAGUCCUCUGCCAUCUCCCCUUGCUCUGCCUGCUUUCCCAGGGCUGCCACGCUACAGGGCGCUUGGGGAGGAUGGCGAUGUGCGCAGUGCACAGCACCCAGCAUCCUGCAGGGAUGCCCUGGAUGCCAUUGCAGCAGGCAGCUCCAGAGAGCAUGACACACACUGCAAAAAGACUUAAAAAAAAACCAGACAGACACAAAAAAAGAAAAAAGGAAAAGGCUUCUGAGGCUUAGUGUUGGAUAUUUAUACACUUGACAUAAAGGAUAUUUCUGCAUUGAAGUAAUAAGCGUGACUCAGUAAACCAAUGGGGAAAGGGUGUUCCCUUUGCAGCAAAACCUCAAAAGAUCAAAGAACUUCUUGAGCGGUUUAACAUUUUGAAUGUUAGAUGAAUUGGUUUCCCCUCCCUCUCCCCCUCAUGCUUGCCUUAAAGUUUUGGAAAAGAAAAUGGUUGGAUUUUAGCUGGGAAGGGAUCGCUUUGAGAGCUCGGGGGAUGCGUGGUUCUGAAACAGCACAGCCACAGGCCCAGGGGAUGGCAGCCCUGGAUGGGGACGUGGCUUAAUGGAAAGUGGCUUUUCCCUCCCUGUCACCUUCCAGACCUGCUCCCGCUAUGGAUGGAUGCAGGCAGCCCUCACCAGAGGGAUGUCCCAACACACCACGUCCCCACACUGUGCCCACUGCUGGUCUUCAGGCAGAGCUGAGCAUCACCAGCUUCCAGCAGCUCCUUCCUGUGGGAGAAGCAAAUCCUGCUAUUGUUGUUCUUGCGUGAGAUGUAAGGGGACAGCCCUGUCCUCUGCCUGCAGCAAGCAGCGGGGGCUGGCGUGUACUCACCAGGGAAGGACAGAGCUGUGUCAGUGGACACAUGUGCCUUUGUGGGAUCGAUAGGCUGGAGUAAUAUAUCGCACCGAGAUAACAAAUCACUUAGCUUAUUGGGUCUUAAUUAAGCCUCUUUUAUCUCCGUGACAGCCACACACCUGGGCUAUCACCCCGACGAACGGCGGCUGAGCAGAGGGGGACGCAGUGCAGGAGAGCGGGGAUUGAUGAGCUGCACUGGGUGGAAUUGCCUCAUUGUGCUGCAGCACUCAGGGCCAUCCAUCUCCCACUCCCCACACCAGUCCUGGGCCGGGACCCCCCACUGCAGCCCCCUCCUCCUGGCGCCGUGCAGGCAGGGCACGGGGGGUAGGGGACACCCAAUGGCGUUAGCCAGGCGCAGGGCGACGAGCUCAGGGCUCAGGGCUGCCCCGUUAGCCCCCCUGGGUAAUAGAUACAGUUGUUAUAGUCCCUGACAGCGUGAAAUGAAGACCUACAUCACCAUAAUGUAUUGUCAGGCUGUGAGCACACUGCGGCCCCUGAGAUGAAUGAAUGCAAUAUCUCUGCGUGCGAGGGGGAAGGCGGGGACGGGGGCUCUGCUGCGCUGCUGCCCUCUGGGCGCUUUGUGCGGCGACAGAAAAAGGCAUUUUUUAUGGGUGAUGCAGAGGCUGAGGGUGUCCGGUCCCUGCAGAGCUGCUGACAGGUCCAGCCCACGAAGGGCAGCGCGUAACAAAUGACUGAAGCGCUGCCGGGAUGAGUUCAGCCUGCAAUGAAGUCAUCGCGCCCUGCCUUGCUGCCAGCUGGGGCUGCGGGGCAAUUGAUGGCGUUGGGGCAAGAGGGAUCAGUGCAUGGUACAGCUCCUGUGAGCUGAGAGCAAAGGGAACCUUCCAAAGCAGGGAGACUGGGAACGUGCGUUCGUGACAAUGGGAAUCCGAGGCACGUAUCGCAUUAUUGGAAAGUAGGACAGUUCUCACUCUGAAGUACGACUGCUGAUGUAGUGACUUGGAGUGGAAUAAUGAGAGCUGGGAGUUGUGAGUGACUUACAGCCGAGCAGCCAAGUCCUGCAGGACACCUCCGUCUCCUGCUUUAGGAUGAUGCUUAAAUCCUUCCCCACCACGGGCUGUUGCUGGGGCUCAGCCUUUCCUCUCUGCUAACCCCAGGGCAGGCUGGCAGCAGCAAAACUGAUUGGGAGCUGGGGAGAUAUUCCUGAGCACAGGUCUGAGCAUGGCCGCAGGUUUAUUUCAGGCAAAGGUUGCUUAGGAUUUCUCCCUUUCCCUCUGUUUGAGAUGGCAUUGUCCAUACCCAGCCUAUGGCAGUGACCAUACCCAGCCUCUCCUAAUGGCUUUUGAUUCUUGCAUAGUGUUGUGCUGUUCUUGCUGCUGCACGGCAGGUACUGCGUGUAUGCAAACACUCCUUUAAAACAAUAAAAUAAGGGUCUGGGCUGAAAGACAAGCAGCUCGUAAUUCAGCAUUGCAUUAAACAAAGUCCAAAGUACUCACAUUACACAAAAUCCAACCGAAGGGCAACACCCUUCCAGUGAUCCUGCAUUUUCACGACUGUUUGCAGGUUCUAGGAUGAACACGAAGCAGUCGACAUAGGAAUGGCCAAUCCCCAUAAGCUGUCGAUGAGACUUUCCUCUCCAGACCAGCUCAGCUGGACGCAUGGUAUUGUCAAGGUCAUUCCCAACGCGUGAUGGACCUAUUUGCUGAUGCUUGUGACAUUUCCCAUCAGGCAGGACAGGAUUCCCCUCCAUGUCAUAAGGUUUGGGGCUGGACGUGCCCAGCAGCUUCCUUCCCUUUGCCCAAACCCUCAGCUCGAAUCACAGAGUCAUUCUGCUUGGAAAAGCCCUCUCAGAUCCCCGACACCAUGCCCACUGUGCCACCUCUCCAGGUGUUCUGGAACACCUCCAGGGAUGGGGACACCACCACUGCCUGGGCAGCUGUGCCACUGCAGCACUGCUCUUUCAGAGAGGAAUUUUCUCCUAAUCCCCAACCCGAAAUACUUCCCAGCCCCACACCCCUCCCAGCCAGCCACCCCUGGGUGUUCUUAUUGCAGUAAGCACCGCGCGCUGACUUUGGCAUCUCCCUCAAGCACUCGUGCUGCACGCAGCUCUGCUCCUACUCUUGGCCAUUAUUGCUGCUUGGAGGUUUUUCCCUCUGAGGUUGGGUCCUCCCUCGUGCUGCCGCUCACAGCCUGUCCCCAUUGGUGAUAUACGAUGCCCCUGUAAUCUCCAGCGACAUAAAUUUCUCUCCUGUUUGUCUCCCUGUGUCCUAUCCUUCUCGCCCCGUGCCUGUUAUUGUGUCUAGCUUUGCGGCUGCGUUUCAGCGUUUUCCCUUGUUUGUCUCCUUCACCUGAGGAUGUCCAUUAUGGGAUGUAACAGCUUUAAUAGCUUACAAAUGGGAGGCUGGAGAUUUUGUGCUUCAGGGAGCAGCGCUCACAGCAGUCACCACUAACAGCGGCGUUUCCCAUUGCUGUGUAUCUCAGCUGCUUUCUUCCCUCCUUAUUUUAAGUCCAGGGACAAAUGGCUCGUAAAGCCGCCGGUCCAAUUCGUACUGCUGGUAGGUGGAGCUGGGUGAGAGAGUCGUCCCCGUCCCCCUCUAUUCUGACCCACACAUAGAGACGUCCCUCAUUGCUCUGCUCCCACUCUGAGCCCCAAUACCAGCGGCACCCUGGGAUGCAUUGGUGUGUCUGGAGCCAAAUCCCAGCAUCUGGCAGCAGUAGUUGGGCAUCCUCAUCCUCACCUCUCCAAAAGCAAAGCGCCAUGCGACCAGGAUCUAAUUAAGCAGGCUAAUCUGAAGGAGGUACUACAUCUCCAUGGAAAACUGCUUCAGUUUGGCUUCUCCGGAUAAUAAACAAAGCACUUGGGCAGAUGAUAGGGCAUUUAAGUGUUUACUCUUCAGAGCAUUAAGUGCUAAAUUUGUUUUCAGCUCACUUAUGAAGAACCCUCACCGAGCAAAGCACACAAGGGGCUCAGUUGUACCUUCAGCUCCGCUCUGAGCCUCCUGCAAGGAGCCUGGUCCAUGGGCUGCCCAGUGGGAAGCAGCAGCCAUUGGCAGCACAGGGGCUGAAUCUGCACUAUGGGAAUGCUGCUGGGGCAGAGAGGCGCUGGGAUGGAGCAGCAUCUUCCCAACCCCAUGCAGAACGCCGUGGGCUGUGCUGAGCACAUCUGGCCACCGCUGCCACAUAGGGGAGGUUUCAUCCAGGGCCAUAGAAACGGAGCACAAAACCAACAAAACAACUCUGUUUCUAAAGCUCUAUGAAGUUUGCACCCCACCAUGCCGGGACAAAGGGGGAAUUAGCAGCCAGCAAAGAGAAAAGCAACACAAAGCCACACCGCGGUGUCAAGAAGCCAAAAAGCCCUUUUCCUUCCCAGUGUGCGGGUAUGGCUUGAGGGACUGUUCACAACCCCGAGCCCAACGUGGGUCAGCUUUGCAGCUCUUUGCAUCUGCAUGUGCUUGAGCCGAGCUUUCCCUGCUGCUGCGAUUUAUAAACCAGCUCUGACCCAUCAAAACCAACGCAGAAUGACUCAGAAGUUUGCAGACAGCCAUCAAAAAGGGGACGGAGGGGUGCACCCGGAUCUGCCAGCAGCAGCCUCCUUUAAAUCAACCUUUCUCAGGAAGAGUGCUGUGGUUCAGGCCCCAGUUUGGGAUGUGUCUGAGCAUGCUUCCCAUCCACAUCAUGGAUUCAAUUACAACACAACGCUUUGCAGAUUUCUGUUAAAUUUUAACUCGUUUCACAUGGGUUGUAUGAACUUUGCCUGACAUUUGGAAGCAGGCAACUUGUGUCAUCAGGUUACACUCACACUUAUCUCUGCAAACAUAUCCUUGUACCCAAACCAGCACCAGCACAACCGUCUUCGCCGUGGCUGGCAUUAAUUGAACCUGAAAUGUUCUUUCCUCCGGCGUUGUGCUCCCUCCUGCUCACAGAGCCAUGUGUGUGACCCCAUCCCCUGCUCCACAAACGCAGCUGCAGCAAAUGGAGUGGCCACGGAGAUGAGGGCAGCGGGCGAUGCUGAGCCAGCAUCUCGCUGUGGGUUUUCAGAGAAGGGCGAUGCCAUAAAAAAGGGGCAGACUUUGAGAUGGCUCUGCCCAUCCCCAGCCCCUAAGUUGCAGGGAUGAGCCUGCAGUGUGUACUGCUGAUGGCCCAAACCCCAUCUCCUGGGGGAACCUCCUGUCCCCAAAGCUUGGCUGGUGACCUGCCAGGCAGCCAUGCCCUGCUCACCUCCGUUGCAUCGAGCCAUGCAAACCCAUCUCUGGCCAUCUGAUGGCUGAAACUCAGGUGUGAUCAAAGCCCGGCCCCUCUGCUGUGUUGGGGUUCAGCAGGGGAGGGGGAAACAUUAAAAUCCUGACAUCACUCAGUGGCCGGCUCUGCCUUCAGCUGCACGAAGUGGCCGGCUCUGCUGAUCAAAGGCCUCGCCACUGUUGUUUUAAAGGUGACAUUAACAUUUAAGGAGCUUUUGAAAGUCCUGGCUGGCAAUAAAAAGCCAGACACUCAGUCACAGAGCAACUCAAACGCAGGUUUAAUGAUAAUGAAGCAGCCUUUUGUUCUUAAGCUCAAAGAAGGACCACAAACCUAUUUAUAGUGUUUAUAAUAAAGACUGUGAAACCUUUGGCACAUAAUCCAGCAAACCGAUACUUGCAAGCCUCAGUGCUACUCAGUGAUCCCCAGAGUGUGCAGAACAGGCUUUUGAGAACACUUUUCCCCCUUUCCACCACUCUUUGUUCCAAUGAAGGCAUGAUGUGGACGCUUCUGUGUGCUUGCAAGCCCUGGUUUCAUAAAGUGUGUCCCCAUGGCACGGCACAGCAUGGGACAUCAUAGCAUGGCAUGGCAUGGCAUGGCAUGGCAUGGAACUGCAUGACACGGCACAGUAUGGCACAUGACCCAUCCUGCUUCCCAUCGUGGCUGCACAGUGCAGAGUGGGGCAGCAGAGGGGGAAGCCAUGCAGGCAAUGCUGGGCUCAGUGCACCACAAGCAGCCCCAUACCGACACUGGGUUAUAAAUAGCCUGGAAAUGAGAGCUGGGCAGGUCGGAGCCAUGGCUGAGUAAGAGAAUCCCCUGCUCCCCACAUGGCUCCUGGCUGCAUUGUCUCUUACCACGAAGCCCUUUGCUCCACGGCUCCCAGCCCUGUGCUGUGUGUUGCCUUGCAGCCCCAAGGAAAGCGAUUCCACGCGCCUUCCUUAAAGCAUGCAGUUGGAAAUGCCAUGCAAGUUCCCUCACUCCUCCUCACCCUCCUAGAUGUGGCAAUUAGCACUGAGUCCUCAUUCCAUUCAUUGAGUGCUGGGCAGGGUCAGCAGUCCCAGCAGAAGACGGUAGGGAGGGCAAAUAUCCUACAUCUUCUCCAACCCCUGCUGCCCAUGGCAGAGCCAGAGCAUGGAUUCACUGCCUGCCUUUCAUAGUAGCAGCCGGGAUGAACACCUCUGUGCACAGGCAGUGGUGGAGACCCAUCCUUGGAGGUGUCCCAGCACCAUGGAGAUGCGACCCUGAGGGACGUGGUCAGUGGGCAUGGUGGGAUGGGCCGGGCUUGGAGAUGAGAGGGAGCUUUUCCAACCUUCAUCAUCCUGUGAUUUUCCAGAGAUGCUCCCAGCCCCAGUUUGGCCACUGCCUCUUUCCCCUGCUCAGCUCACAGCACGGUGGGCGCUACUGGGGAGCUCAAGUGAGGGCUAUGGGGGUCCCUUUGUUUCCUAAGGGCACAAGUGGCCAAAGGAGUCAGUGAUGGGAAUGCACGGGGUGGGGGAGGCAGGCGACGGGAGAGCUUGCGGCUGGAUGUGACCCAGACCAGGGAACAGAUGCAACUCAUAACGUUAAUGAGGUUUUUUUUUCUUCCUCCCCAAAGGCGCUGCACUCCUGAGAACCGGGGGCUCUCUAUCCCAUGGCAACACCAAGCGGGGGAAAAAUGGGCCUGGCUUUUAUUUCAUUUUUUUGUCCUUUACAGGAAUCGCAGGCAAACAAAAGCCCUGAACAGAUUUAUCAUUUUUCUUUCUCCCCCACCCCCUCCUUUUCUUUCCUUUUAUAUUUUUUUAAAAUAGGGUUAGAGCAAGAUGGAUGGUUCCCCAGGCCCAUGGAAUGAGCAGAUAGAGGCAGCCCUGUCGACUCUGGCAUCCCAUUAAGCCAAGCUGCGGGAGGAGGCCGCCGUCGGACUUAUUACAUUUGCCCCCACCCGGACCCCAAACAUCAGCCCCAGUGUGGGGUGCCCCCGGCUCGGCUGCCCGUGCCCCACAUUGCCGGGUGCCACCCGCACCUCUACCCUAUCCAUCCCCCACAUCAGCAUGGGAAUCGCCUCUUGCAUCCCUCAGUGUCAGCCCACACCGAUUUGUCACUGAUAGGUGACAAGCACUGUGUGGCUCAGUGUGGCUCCGGGUAAGGGCAGCCGGGGGGGGGGGAGCUCAGACAGCCCCCAACCCACCGCUGACCAGGGCUGCUGUGCCUGGUGAAACAGCAGUGAGGAAGGGGGGAAAAACAAGGCAAAAAUAGAAGGAAAAAUGAUGGGAUGAAAAAAAUGAAACAAACCCCAUCGUGUUCAGGAGCCCAAGAACCACGCAGCCCCAUGGGGGGGUCGGCAGUGGUGACAGGGGCACCCGGCUGCCCCAUCUCCACCGCCCGCUUCCUUCGCACGGAUAUUUCCACUUUAAUACUUAACAAGGAUUUAAAACCCUUCUGCAGCCGGAGUUUGUUGGCAGCGAUAAAUUUUGAAUAGCUUAUAAAUAAUGGAGGCAAGGUGGUGCCUCCGGCUGGGAGAAGGGGUGAGGCCCCACCUGCCAUCAGGAGAGGGUGAGGAGCAGCCCUGGUGCAUACCGCUCGGUGACGAUGGCAUCACAGUGCACAGCCCAGCAUGGCCAGGCUGCUUCACACCUCCUGAUAGGGAUGAGCCAGCAUGCAAGUAUCAUGGGAUGGAAUUAUGGAUGGACGGAGAAAUGCAUGCAGUCCCUUUCUAUAUAUAUGUGUGCGGAUGCACGUACAGAGAGACAAAUAUAUAGAGCUGUGCACAGCCACAAGCAUGCGUGCUUGCAUGCAUCUCUAUGGGUCAAAUUGCCCACCUCCCCUUGACCUCCCCUCCAUGCCUUGCUCCCAUCGAACCCAUAUCCCACCCCAUGUGCUGCAGAUGCAACAGGCAGCAGCUCCUGCAGGGCACCUCACACACUGCUCCACACUUUGGGGCCAGGAGGGGAUUUGGGAAGAGGGCUGGAAGGGAUGAUUUCAUCCCCAUGAGAACUGGAGAGCGUUUCUGUGCACGGCAGGGGUGGAUGCAAUGUCUGCUCCCUGCUUUUCCCUGGCACUUUGUAGCAAGUCAGUAAUUAGGUUAUAGCACCGCUCUGGCUUAAUUUCUACGCACCAACGUCCAAUAAAUGUGUAUGGAGUUUGUAUGUGUGCCUGUAGUAUAUAAAAGCUAUAGGAAAAUGGCCAGACUUCACUACAUUAAUUCAUAAAGCAGGUCAUUCUUGUCUGGCCCUUUACCUCACUUGUUAUUUCUAUUUAUUAGUAAUAUUGAUGUUUCAACCAGGGAUCAGGACCCCAUUGAGCCAGCUUUAAUAACAGAAAAGAUUUAGCAGGAGAGAGCCCUGUAAUGAACCAAUAAUCACAACAGCGGCGCUCACGUAGUGCAGCUCACAAACAGCAUUGUUAUUUGUACAGUGUUUUAUUUGCUAUUUCACUUUUGCAGCGAGCCCAGCAUCUCCCACUGCACCAGUUUGGCCAUGCCAAGGCUUUGUUGAGGGUGAAAAUGGAAUGAAUGAGUGUUGGCUUCGGAGGGCCAUCAGCGUGGGCUGGUACCCAUGGUAACCGCUUGGGAGCCGUACAAAGCCCAGGACCACAUCUAAACCAACUUCAGCUUCGUCGCCUGCUGAGACAUUGAACACGAGCCAGUCCUCAGCUCUGAGCCAAGAUACACUUAGGGAGGGUUUGUCUGGCAAGAACCUCUGGAACUAUUGAUCCGUGAGAAAAAGUGAUCAAGGGAAGUACAGCUGUCCUGGUUAUUGCCUCACCAUGCUCUCUACCAGCUGCAAAACUUCACCAGCAGAGACAACGAGAGAAGAGCUGCGCAGCAUCCUUCCUUCAUGCAAACUCUGCUCUGUGUCUGAAAGCCCAGCGCAGAGCUGGAGCUGCUGCAGCACCGGGGAUGGUGCACGGUGGGGAGAACCGGGGAGCAAACAUCGUCUGAACAGGGACAAAGGCAUUAUAAAUGAGUGCUGCCGGAUCUCCUGUCAGCCAGGGUGGUGUUACCUCUGCAUUUAUACUUCAGUAAUUUCUGCAUUUCUCUAAUUUCUUAAAUUGCCUGUAAGAUGAUAAUAUUUCCUAGAACAUGGUGAAUAGAUUAACUGCACGCUACGGCGCUAUCCAAAACUGCUUCGAGCAGCAUUAAAACCAGAUGUUCCCAAAGAGCCAAGGGAAAAUGUUACCUGCGCUGCUCACCAGCCAAGGGGCGAACUGCCUGUGCCUUACGUAGCAAUGCUGCUUUUCCUGGGAUCAUGGAAAACCAGCAACACGAGGCAUCUCCACGCCACAGCUCUGGCAACGUGUGCUCCACCACAUGCCCUUGCUUCCCACGCUGCCUGCUGCCAUCCGUGGCUGCGGGGCACAGGGACGGCAUGGCCAGGAGCAGCAGCCUGACCUACUUCAGUGCAGUGCAAUGGCCUCUCUGCCACGCAUCCUCGCACAGACACGAAGCACAGUUUGAGGGCAGCGGACCCGCAUGGGGUGGGAUGCUGUCCCAGCCUCCACCAGCUAGCAUUGCUCCGGCUGCCUCCGAGCGCUCUCACCGCUGCGUAUCAACUCACAGGCUCCAUUAACAAAUCAAAUUGCCACUGAUGUGCUUCUCAUUACAUCUCGGGGCUUACGCGUCGUUAUUUCAUUUAAAAGACGGCAUUUGUUUUCCCUUCCCUGAUUCCACGUCCCCAAAAUCUCAUUAGGAGAUCGCUGCUCAUUAUGAAGUGCUGCUCAGUGUAACGUGCUGGGGGUGCAGGACUCAGCAAAGGGCCCCACAUGGAGGUGGGGGGGGGGGGGGGGAGAGGGUAAUGAAGAGCCAUUGAAUGAGGAGUGCCGAGGCUUAAUUUGGGAGGAGAGGAGCGGACUGUGGAUGCUGACAGCACCGCAAUGCGAAUCCCCCUUGGAGCACCCAAAGAAUCGGCCUAAAUGGAUUAAUGUGAGGACAGAGAAGAAAUGACUUCAGUUGUUUCCCUGAUUCAAUUCCGUUUAUUUUUAUACGGCGUCUUCAUGCAAAGCAUCUCCCAGCUGCUUCAUCCAGAAGAGGGAUAACAGAGGAUCACCGCGCUGGCUCAGCUCUCACCAGUGCUGGCAUUGCAGUGGGAGGGAGGAACACAAGCGCUGGCCUUGAGGAUUUGACGUCCCAAAUCAUCAGGAGAUCAUAUGCCAUUUUUUUCUCUUCUUUUUCCAGUUCCAAUAUUGGUAAUUUCCCUAGGCUUUCCUCAAAGCAUCGCUGCAAUAUACUCGGGCUGAUUCUAAUCUCACGCUGCUUUUAUAGCACUGUAAUUCCGAUCUCACACUGGUUUUAUACUGGUGCAGCCCCACUUAUUUCAACUGAGUAAAUUCCUGAUUUAUGUCAGUGCAAACGACGGCAGAAAUGGGCCCGCAGCUCUCCCUGGAGCAACGCCUGGCUCCCACCAGGGUGAGGAAGAGGAAGAUCAGCUCGUUUGCAAUGCAAAUGGUGUAGAAAACUGCUGCCACAUUACACCCAGACCCUCACUUUGCGAUGCGCUUUUGCUCUCUUCUAUGAAAUGCACUUUGUUGCAUUUUGGAAACCCACAGGAGGUCACUGAGAAGCGACGUGUGGCUCUGCUGGGUGUCCGUGGGGACCGACCCGUUUAUUGCCUUCGCCCUUCUCUCUUCCUCAGCCCCACCACCACUCUGUUGCUGUUUCAAGGACGUUUCGUUGCCUUAAUUUACUCUCUGUGAUGUGAAGGGAUGCAGUGACUUAUCCUGAUACCCAUCCCAGAGGCUGCACCUCAGCAGUGCAGUGUUGGUGUUGGUUAAUAAGCCCCUUGCAGACCAAAGCAAGACUGUGACUGCUGCAUCCACCUGGGCAAGCUGCGUCCUCUCUUGCUUAUGCUAAGGGAGGAAAAAUAGGGGCUGUUGUAACUAAUGGCUGUGGGGUGGAGUGAUUUUCCCCUUCCGUUUGCUCUCAGGAAAGAACAGGACGGAACUGGGAGAGGAAGGCAGGCUGAAAAGGGGGAUGGAUAAGGACCUUGGUUGGUUGUCUCUGCUUGGGUGCUGGUCCCUCACAAUGGGGGGGUCCCUGAGCUCCCACCCAUUGCUGUGCCCUGAGGAGCACUGCUGCAGUGCCAUACCCACCCAUUGUGCACCUAUGUGAUGCUCAGACAGCAAGAAGGUGAGGGUUGCUGGUAUCACCUCUCCUAUGGGGCUGUGCAAACUCAUACUCACUGAUGCCCCUCUGCCAUUGCAAAGUGGGAAACAACCUUGUGCAGCCACUGGACAAAGUCUUCCCUUCACACCCAGCCUGGCAGCACUGAGCCCUGCUCCAUGGAGAGGAGCAAACCCUGAUCCCACAGCCCAGCAGAGCCCCCCCAGCCUAGCAGUCAGACCCACAAGCUGACAUCAGCAGAACGAAGCAUGGCCCCAGCAGUAAUCUGAUAGAACCCAAUGGCAGUUUGGGUUGGGGGGGGGGGGGGAGGGGAGGGGAGGCACUGAAAGAAGAGGCACUGAAAGUACACUUCCUUCAGUGCAUUGCUGGGGAGACCAUUAGGAAAACCACUAGAUUAUUUUUCACAUUCUUCAGCGCAAAACUACUGCGUUUUAUGACCACUAUCAAUAACAGCUAUCAUAUUACUAAUGCUACAGUUGCCACAUAUAUAAUAUUUAAAUCACAUUUGUGGCUGACAGAGACCUAUGGAUAUUCUCGAUCCCAACAGGCUAUUACAGUUCAUAUCGUGUCUGUCAUAUAAAUAUUAUGAAUCAUUUCCCACUAUCUUUAUGGGGGCUACAUUGACAUCGUCGAAAAGGCUCUGGGCUGGAUACUGGCUGCAUAUUUAUACACACCUUAUGUAUAUGUAUGUGAAUGGAGGGAGAUUUAUUCAACAAUCACCAGUAAUAAAUGCCUAUGAUAAACCAUA